AAAUUGCAGACAUAAAAUGUGUUAAAAAGAAAAAAAAAAAGAGAAAUGCCUCAGAUUUUAUUGGAUGAUCUGCCAAUUUCAUGGCCUUCUUCAGGUUGAUGAGAGCCCAGGCGUCUUUUUUGGGGUUGAUUGUUCCUGGCGGUCGGGAUGCCGGCAGUCACAUGACCGACCGUGGCAUCCCUGCAUUGAAGAUCCCAACAUCGGAGGGGAUAAUCCAUGAGGUGAAUUUUAUCCAAUACCGUUCUGGUAAUGUGUCUACUUAUUGAAGAUUUAUGUGCUGAUUAUCUGUAUUGAAGUUUCUUGAUUGUAAAGCCCCUGAUGAAGUCCGUUGGACGAAACGCGUUGGGUUUUUGAGACAACUAUUGCGUUCUUCAAGAGGCACCACUAUAUGAUUAAGAAUGGAACAUUGUUUUCAAUCAUCUCGUGUAUAAAGUAUCAUGGAAUGUAAUUGAACAAUUUUAUGUAUUGUAUCUUUAAAGGAAAUAAAAUCCUUUUUUAAGAAUAAUAAAUAA